rnacentral:lncRNA from 1 species
GAACAGAAAUAAGGGGGGAGGACGUCUUAAAAGGGAGGUGGACUGGACCACAGAUUUAUAGCACCGUAUCACCAACCCCUUCUCUGCCUCCGCACUGCCGUGUGUGCAGCUGCUCUGCCAGGCUCCUAUCCCGGGCAGCACGCGCGGAAGUAUACGCCGAGUGGCGCCACAACGCAACUUGCUCAUCUCCCCAGGAUCCUGAUUGGUCCAGAUGCCUCCAUUGAGGCCGCCCAGACGAGGCUGGGUGAUGUGAUUGGUUGGAAGCUUGUGUCACUCUCGAGAGCUCAAUGGAGUCCCGUUUCAAGGCUGUGCAGCCUGUUCUAGGCCGUGGGAGAGCACUAAAGAAGACUUUCAAGCCACUCCUCGAAGAGCUUCUGAUCCGUGGGGGAGAUGAAAUCUGCCUUCCUUAUUUACAUGACCCUGGAUGUCUGCCAUUUUGAAGAAUUCCAGGAUAAAGCCUAUCUGAGCAAUGAAUUACUACUUUCUACUAUCCAGCUCAUCUAAUUCAUCAGGUAUUGUUUGCUUCCUGUAUUUCCUGAUUCUGAUCUCCAUUUAAUGGACUGAGAAUACCAAAGCUAUACAUGUAGGAUACAACAUUAUUUACAUGGCUCUACCUUUGCAACCAGGGCACUUUCCCUAGGACCUAACUUGUUUUAGGAUACAGGUAUCAUUUCAGAUACUCUCUUCCUCCACCCCUACCCUUGCCUCUUGUCUUC